GGGUCAGUAGGUUGGUCGUGUCACCGGUACGUACUGGUCUCACUGAUUCCUCCUUCCUGAAGAACCGUAAUGCCAUUAAUUUGGUGUUACGGGGAAACAGGACUGUUACUUUGAAAAAAUUAGAGUGUUUAAAGCAAGCUAACGCUUGAAUACAUUAGCAUGGAAUAAUGAAAUAGGACGAUCGAUCCUAUUUUGUUGGUUUCUAGGAUUGACGUA
rnacentral:rRNA from 1 species